rnacentral:lncRNA from 10 species
CUCACGGCGACGUCAGCCACAUGUGAAUAUGCGCCACUGGAGUUCCCCUGCGCCAACCCAGCAUAUUUCCCAUUCCCUGGAAACCUCAAUAACUGGGGCUCACUUCCUGCCUGCCCCUUAACCGAUUUGACUCCCAAAUAUAUGUCCCAUGUCCAUAUUCUUCUCUUACACGCCAAGACCUGUACCUCUACCUAAACGUCCUGUGAGAACCUCACACUCCACAUGUCUAAGCCGGUUUAUCACCUCCUCUAUCCCCUGCACAGGCCAGCCCUUCCUCCUGUGCUCCCCAGCCCAGGGUCUAUCAUCAUGUCCCUUGACCCAAGCCAAGAACCGAGAGCCUAGGCACCUGCUUCCCUCCACACAGCCCCUCUGCCAUCUACCCGUGAGUCCCACCUUCCCAGCAUUUCCUGAAUUCGUUCCAUCUUUCCUUUCCCCAUGAUGACUUACUGCUCAUCACCCUGAGACCCCAGUCUCGCCUCCAUCAGACCAACCUCAACGCGGCUUCCAGAGGGGUUGCUCUGAAAUCCAGAUCAAACCCUGUCACCCUUCUGAUUGAAGCCUCCAUGGCUCCCAAAAUUUUCAACGUGAUUUAUCAAGACCUUGAGAAUCUGACCCAUCCCUACAUCCUCCACGUAUCAGUUAGCAUGGGGUAAGCAUUUAACAUGUGCACAAACCAGGCAGUGACUCCCUCCGUCCUCACAGCUCCUCUCUGAGGUGGCGGGUGACAGUCUGGGUUAUUAUUAUUCAGCAAAUACUCACACUCCUCCCGUAUAGACUCCCCUGCUCAUUGAUGUUGGACUUGACCACCUGACGUGUUUUGGCCCUGGGGCUGUUGGAGGAUGGAACUAGCAGAAGCACUCCAUGCGCCCACAUGGCCUGGCUCCUUCUUUCCACUCCAGAAGUCCAGGGUAAGAAGAGCUUCCUCCAGAGAGCCUCUGCUGUGCCCCAGGACAAACUUGGUGCAACCACCUGAACUUGCGUCAAACCCAGGCUACCUACAGCCUAAGGCAGGGCCGUCCAGCCACACCUAUCCUGGAUCAGCCAAAUUAUAGCCAUCUGAGACCUGGCCAUGGCCUUUGAGGACACUGCAGGCCCUGCAGCCUGAGAGAGAGUCUCUAUUCCCAGGCCAGUUUGCAAACUCCCAAGAAAGACAUCUCAGGGCUCAGGACCAUGGACCAUGGGGCAAUGGACGGACCUGUAGGAACAUUGUGGCUGAGUGGGGAGGGCAGUGCCCAGAAGAACAUGCUGGGGCCAGGCACGAGGAAAGCAAUAGGUGGGCCCUGAGGUCAGACGGCCACAGCAGAAGCGCCUCCUCACGCUGGGACUCCCUCCUCCUCCUUCUCCUUCACCUCCUCCUCUCUCUCCAUCUCUCUUUUUUUUUUUUUUUUUUUGAGACGGAGUCUCGCUCUGUCACCCAGGCUGGAGUGCAGUGGCGUGAUCUCGGCUCACUGCAAGCUCUGCCUCCCAGGUUGACGCCAUUCUCCUGCCUCAGCCCCCUGAGUAGCUGGGAUUGCAGGCGCCCACCACCACGUCCGGCUAAUUUUUUGUAUUUUUAGUAGAGACGGGGUUUCACCGUGUUAGCCAGGAUGGUCUCAAUCUCCUGACCUCGUGAUCCGCCCGCCUCUGCCUCCCAAAGUGCUGGGAUUACAGGCGUGAGCCACCACGCCCGGCCUCUCUCCAUCUCUCUCUCCAUACCUCUCUCUCUCUUUCUCUGUCUCUAUUUGUCCCUCUCUCUUCUCCCCCUCUCCCCUACCCCCCUAAGCCUACCGGGCGGGGGGCUCCCUGCUUCUUCCCAUCCCACAUCACCCCUCCUGGCUUUCUCAGCCCUCUUGUCCUGCAGAUUUUGUGGCCUUCACACACUCGCCACAUUCUUGUUCCACCGUGGCACUCAGGGUCUCCAUGGCUACCUAUGCCCAGAGCUAAACAAAGCGCUGGUGUAGCUGGGCUCCAGCCAGGGCCCAGGGUGGCAGGCCCAGGACCUCCAGGUGCGGGCACUGUUUCCGCUGAAGCGGCCGGGCCACCGCCAGCUCUCUUGGCAGCCUUGGCACUGCUGAGUCACACUGGGCUUUCUGUUUCCAUAAAACAUGUUUCAGAGAUUUAUGAGGUAAUCAUGUGCUCACUACAGAAAAAUUCGAAAACACAAAUAUAAAGGAUCUAUUUCUCCUCGGUCUUUUACUUAUGCAAAUUUUAAAACAAACGUCGACUUAGUCUAUAUAUAGCUUUUGCUUAACUUCUUAUCAAGAGCAUUUACCCUGCUCAUAAUGUGUGAAUGAUAUUCGUUUAUGGAUUACAAAUACAAUAGCGGACAGUUAUUACUCUGCUGAAUACUUUUUGCUGGCUAUUUUAUUUAACAAACUACCACGUGGUUUCCCCAAGAACAGUUAGAUUCCCCAUUUCACAAAUGUGGAAGCUGAGGUUUAGAGUGGUUGAAUAAAUUGUUCACAGUCACACAGCUAGUACAUGGCAGGUCCCAACUUUGAGGCCAAAUCACCUUGUUUCACAGCCAAUGUCAUUUCUCUCCAUGACCCCUCCUGCCUGUGUACCACAGGUCACAGGUGUGCAUGAGGUGUCUGUGUGUCACAGGAGGGCAUCACCACUCUCCUCCACCUGGGCUGAGCUAUGUCCCUCCAGGACAGUGGUGGAGGAUGCUUCCCAGGAGGAGUGACAUCCUGUUUGUAAGCCACCAGCUUGUAAGUCAUGGAGUUGCCUGUGGUGGCAUGGCGGAAGCCUGGCUGUGCUCUGUGGGCCAAGGGCAUGAGGGACAGGCAGCCCUUCAUGGCAAAGAGCCAAAGAGUAAUUCAGAAAACUAGAAUUUGAAUAGAAUCACCUCAACUUUUAAAGACGGCAUACCAAAACCCCAAGCAAAUAUCACAUCCAAUGGAGAAACCUUAGAAACAUCCCCAUCUAGAUUGGCAAGAAGAUAAGGUGCCUGUUAGCAUUGCUGCUAUGUAACAAAGAGCCAGAGUCAGGGCCACUGUUAUAAAACAAGAAAAGGAAAUGGGAGGUGUAGAAGUCGGAAGGAGGAAAGAGAUUAAAAUGUUAUUUGUGGACUAUAUGAAAAUUUACAUAGAAAUUUCAACUAAUUAUUAAAACUAAUAACAGGGUUGCUGGAUGGAUGUAAAGUCAACUUACAAAGACCAAUAACACUUUGUCUAUACCACAUUAACCACCUAUAAUAUAUAGGAGAAAAUAAGACAUAUAUACAUAUAAGAAAAUAGGAUACCUUUCAUAACAGCAACACAACCUAUAAAAUGCCUGAAAAAAA